rnacentral:rRNA from 1 species
GAUCAUGGCUCAGGGUGAACGCUGGCGGCGUGCUUAACACAUGCAAGUCGAACGAAGCACUUAAGAUUGAUUCUUCGGAUGACGUCCUUUGUGACUUAGUGGCGGACGGGUGAGUAACGCGUGGGUAACCUGCCUCACACAGGGGGAUAACAGUUAGAAAUGACUGCUAAUACCGCAUAACCCGAUAGGAUCGCAUGAUCCAGACGGAAAAGAUUUAUCGGUGUGAGAUGGACACG